AGCUUCUUAAUUUUUUUUAGUAUAUUAUAAACUUGCAUUGCUAGUUGCUGAACUGAAGCUUAUAUAUAUAUGUGUAUCAUCUUGCAAAUUUCAUUUAAUCCAAGUGUGUGGUCCUUCAUUACCAUAUCGAAUACAAUAAUUUCAGUAUUGCUACUUAGAGUUCAGAAAUUUCAGAUUGAUCAAUAACAAAAAAUGGUUUUUGAGGAAUUUUUUGUUGCUUGUGCUGUGGAGAUGUUGAAGAGCUUAAUCAUUUUGGUUCUCAAGGAGCUUAAAGAAGCCUCCUGUGUAAAAGAAGAGCUGAAAAAACUUGACAAUACUUUGUCCAUAAUUCAAAUGGAAAAAGUAGAAGACGUUGAGAAACAACAAAUGGAAAAAGAAGCGCUCAGAGAGUGGUUGGAAGGGCUUAAAGACGUGACUUAUGAUGCUGAUGAUAUUCUCGAUAAGUUCUCAUAUCAUGUUAUGCAUGAGAAGGAGAUGAGCGGCCGUAAGAGAGACAAACUACGUGUAAACCUGUCACUAAGAUCAAAUCCACUGGUGUUUCGAUUCAACAUGGCUGAUAAUUAAAAUCAGAAAAAUCAAUGAAAGAUUAGAUGUUAUUGCCAAAAAUAUGCCAAUGCCAUAUGGUCGUUAUACCUCGCCUUUGGUAUCAAUUUAUGAGCAAAUUAAAGAUAACCAGGAAACGACAUCUUUCAUUGACAAUUCAAGGAUUAUUUUUGGAAGAGAAAAGGAUAAAGAAAAGAUAAUAAAAGUCUUAUUAGAAACGAUUAGAUGCUCCUCUUCCUCAUCAGAUUCAAGAGUUUCCGUUCUUCCAAUUGUAGGUAUGGGGGGUUGGGGAAGACCACCUUGGCAAGAUCAAUCUACAAUGACGAAGUGGUAUCCGACACCUUUGCGCUGCGAAUAUGGGUCCAUGUGUCCAUUGAUUUUGAUGUUAAGAAAAUCUUAAUACGGGUCGGAUAGUAGUACUUACGACCGAGAUGCAAAUAUGGAUGUUCUAGAACGCAAAAUGAGGAAAAAAUUGAGUGGUAAAAGAUACUUGCUUGUACUUGACGACGUCUGGAACUUGAAAACUGAAGUCUGGAAUAAUAGGAGAGAUAUUGCACUCUAUGAAGACCAGCGAAGAAUGGUCAUUUAUCCGAGACAGCAAGUCCUGGGAAUUAUCUGGAGACUAUCAAGUUUUACCUGCAUUGAGGUUAAGUUACAGAUAUUUGCCGUCAUGUUUGAAGCAAUGCUUCGCUUAUUGUUCGUUAUUUCCGAAGGAUUCAUGAUUUGAGAAGCAAAGCUUAAUUCAGUUAUGGAUGGCGGAAGGAUUUCUUCAUCCGUCUGAUGGAAAUCGUGAAAAACAGCUUGAGGAUAUCGGAAAUGACCAUUUUAAUAGUUUGUUGCAGAACUCCUUGUUACAAGAAGAGACAGAUGCUCAUGAUGGAGAUACUCAACAUUACAAACUGCAUCAUCUUAUGCAUGAUCUUGCAAAAGAUGUUGUCGGAAAUUAUGAAUGCUCGAUCAUUAAGGUCAGUGAGAUUGUUAAUCAAGAUAUUUCAAAAGUUCGGCGUUUAAGGUUGAUUUUUGAUGAAGGCAAGAUACCAUACCCAGAGACGCUGAAAGAUGAAUCGAAAUUGCGCACUUUGCUUAUUCAUACUCAAGUAGGAGAUAAUUACAUCAAUUAUGAAAACAUUUUCAACUAUAAGAAGUUCCGCGUGUUAGAUUUGCAGCGGUGUACUAGUAUUCAAGAGUUACCAAGCUGAAUCAAAAAAAUGAAACAUCUCAGGUACCUUGAUCUAUCAUACACUCAAAUUGAAGGAUUACCCGAAUUCGUAUCUCGGCUCUACAAUUUGAAGACUUUGCUUCUCAGGUAUUUCCCAAAACUAAAAACAUUUCCUGACAAAAUGGGGAUGUUGAAGCGUCUGAGGUACCUCGAUCUUUCUGGAUCAAAUUUUGUUGAAUUACCGGAGUCCAUUACUCAUCUUUCCAACUUGCAGACUUUGAAGCUCGGAGAUUUUUCUAAGCUUAAAGAGCUUCCAAAGCACAUAAGUAAGUUGAGCCACUUAAGACAUCUCAUUGUAAGCAACAACGGAAGAUGGAACGAAAUGCCAAGGGAGAUUGGAUGUCUUUCUCGUCUUCAGACAUUACAAGUAUUUAAAGUGGAUGGCAGAGAUGGCGGUAGCAUUAGGGAGUUGGGAUCCCUGAAUUCUUUGGAAAGCAAACUACAUAUCAGUAAUCUUCAACACGUGACAGAACCGAAAGACGCCGAGAAAGCAAAUUUGAAGGGGAAAGAAAACAUUGAAAGCUUAAUGUUGGAAUGGAGCCGUAGACCAGAUGAUGCAGAAUGUGCUAUUGAUGUUUUAGUGAUGGAGAAAUUGCUACCAAAUCCUAGAUUGAAAACAUUGAAGAUUGUUAACCAUCCGAGUCCCAGGUUUCCAACAUGGAUGGCGAGUGGUAGUAUUUCUUCAUCUCUUCCAAAUUUGGUAUAGCUAGAGUUAAAAGGUUGUUUGAUUUGUCAAGAACUUCCAGGGCUUGGGCAACUUCCAUCUCUCAAGGUUCUCACAAUUGACACAAUGAGAGAUGUGGUGUGUCUUGGUAAUGAUUUUGACGGUGAUCGUGAAGCAUGUCAACCGUUUCCGGAGUUGGUAAAACUCACCUUAUGCAACUUUCCUGUCCUGCAGAAAUGGUUUUCUUUUUAUCCGCGGCUCGAGAAGCUGAUUGUUGAGAGAUGUCCAAAUCUGGAACACAGCCAAGACGUGAACUUCAUAAGAAGUUUCAUUCCUUCAAUCAAAGAAUACGAACUGGAUGGCGCCAAAUUAAUAAGCAGACUGGAUUUGCGCAGGACUAUGCGCAUAGUACGAAGUAUGGUGACAUUACAACUACAAUGAAGCGGAAGAUAUGAACUGUGAGCAGAUGGGCAUUAAUGGGAUUGCACCUGAGAUCCCAGAGGAUUUGUACCAUUUGAUCAAGAAGGCUGUUGCUAUCAGGAAGCAUUUGGAGAGGAACAGGAAGGACAAGGACUCUUAAGUAUAGAUUGAUUUUGGUUGAGAGCAGGAUUCACUGUCUUCCCCGUUAUUACAAGAGGACCAAGAAGCUUCCCCCAGUCUGGAAAUAUGAAUCUACAACUGCCAGUACUCUUGUUGCUUAGGUUGGACUUCCAUCUAGGUACAGU